GGUUAAAGUAGUCAGGGUGCAGGGUGGAUGCCUUGACACUAAGAGACGAUGAAAGACGUGAUAAGCUGCGAAAAGCUUCGGGGAGGAGCACAUCUCCAAUGAUCCGGAGAUAUCUGAAUGGGGAAACCCGGCAGAGGAAACCUCUGUCAGCGUGCAGUGAAUACAUAGCUGUACGUGGGGAACCCGGGG
rnacentral:rRNA from 1 species